AAGAUCAUACUUCACAGGAUCAUUUCUGUAGUAUAUCUUCACACAUUCUCAACUCAAAUUGAGAGUGGUUUGCAACCUCGACGAUGAGGCGAAGUAUCGUUUCCUGAGCGUGAGACAGGCCCUUGGACUUCCACAAGGAAAUCUUCGUGGCCAACGAUGAUCGUUCGACUGGAUUUUCCAGUUUAUGGAAACGAUACAUUCUGAGAGGU